rnacentral:rRNA from 1 species
UACGUAGGUGGCGAGCGUUAUCCGGAAUGAUUGGGUUUAAAGGGUGCGUAGGCGGACUGUCAAGUCAGCGGUAAAAUUGAGAGGCUCAACCUCUUCCCGCCGUUGAAACUGGUGGUCUUGAGUGGAUGAGAAGUACGCGGAAUGCGUGGUGUAGCGGUGAAAUGCAUAGAUAUCACGCAGAACUCCGAUUGCGAAGGCAGCGUACCGGCAUCCAACUGACGCUGAGGCACGAAAGCGUGGGGAUCAAACAGG